GGAAUAUUGGACAAUGGGCGCAAGCCUGAUCCAGCCAUGCCGCGUGGAUGAUGAAGGCCUUAGGGUUGUAAAGUCCUUUUAACGGGGAAGAUAAUGACGGUACCCGUAGAAUCAGCCCCGGCUAACUUCGUGCCGGCAGCCGCGGUAAUACGAAGGGGGCUAGCGUUGCUCGGAAUCACUGGGCGUAAAGCGCACGUAGGCGGAUCUUUAAGUCAGGGGUGAAAUCCUGGAGCUCAACUCCAGAACUGCCUUUGAUACUGAGGGUCUCGAGUCCGGGAGAGGUGAGUGGAACUGCGAGUGUAGAGGUGAAAUUCGUAGAUAUUCGCAAGAACACCAGUGGCGAAGGCGGCUCACUGGCCCGGUACUGACGCUGAGGUGCGAAAGCGUGGGGAGCAAAC
rnacentral:rRNA from 1 species